rnacentral:rRNA from 1 species
ACAGAGACUGCAAGCGUUAUUCGGAUUCACUGGGCGUAAAGGGUGCGCAGGCGGCCAAGUGUGUUAGGCGUGAAAGCCCGGGGCUCAACCCCGGAAUUGCCUUUAAGACUGCAUCGCUUGAAUCCAGGAGAGGUGAGUGGAAUUCCGAGUGUAGAGGUGAAAUUCGUAGAUAUUCGGAAGAACACCAGUGGUGAAGGCGGCUCACUGGACUGGUAUUGACGCUGAGGUGCGAAAGCGUGGGGAGCAAACAGGA